AGUGAACGCUGGCGGCAGGCCUAACACAUGCGAGUCGAACGGCAGCACAAGAGAGCUUGCUCUCUGGGUGGCGAGUGGCGGACGGGUGAGGAAUGCAUCGGAAUCUGCCCAUUUGUGGGGGAUAACCUCGGGAAACCGGGACUAAUACCGCAUACGACCUACGGGUGAAAGCAGGGGAUCUUCGGACCUUGCGCAGAUGGAUGAGCCGAUGCCGGAUUAGCUAGUUGGAGGGGUAAAGGCCCACCAAGGCGACGAUCCGUAGCUGGUCUGAGAGGAUGAUCAGCCACACUGGGACUGAGACACGGCCCAGACUCCUGCGGGAGGCAGCAGUGGGGAAUAUUGGACAAUGGGCGCAAGCCUGAUCCAGCCAUGCCGCGUGUGUGAAGAAGGCCUUCGGGUUGUAAAGCACUUUUGUUGGGAAAGAAAAGCAGCCGGUUAAUACCCGGUUGUCAUGACGGUACCCAAAGAAUAAGCACCGGCUAACUUCGUG
rnacentral:rRNA from 1 species